rnacentral:piRNA from 1 species
ACUGAAGAGACCUUAAAAGAAUC